UACGUAGGGUGCAAGCGUUGUCCGGAAUUAUUGAGCGUAAAGAGCUCGUAGGCGGUUUGUCGCGUCUGCUGUGAAAACUCGGGGCUUAACUCCGGGCUUGCAGUGGGUACGGGCAGACUAGAGUGCGGUAGGGGAGACUGGAAUUCCUGGUGUAGCGGUGAAAUGCGCAGAUAUCAGGAGGAACACCGGUGGCGAAGGCGGCGACCUGGGUCGAGACUGACGCUGAGGCGCGAAAGCGUGGGGAGCAAACAGG
rnacentral:rRNA from 1 species